CUAAAAGAUAUGAUUCUAUGUUAAAGAAUAAGAGAUAAAAUAUCCUUUUAGG
rnacentral:tRNA from 1 species